rnacentral:rRNA from 1 species
UACGUAGGGUGCGAGCGUUAAUCGGAAUUACUGGGCGUAAAGCGUGCGCAGGCGGUGAGCUGUGUCCGAUGUGAAAGCCCCGGGCUUAACCUGGGAAUUGCAUUCGAGACUGCAUGGCUAGGGUGCGGAAGAGGGAAGCGGAAUUUCCGGUGUAGCGGUGAAAUGCGUAGAUAUCGGAAGGAACACCAGUGGCGAAAGCGGCUUCCUGGUCCAGCACCGACGUUCAGGCACGAAAGCGUGGGGAGCAAACAGG